UGAUGAUGAUGAUGAUGAUGAUGGUGAUGAUGAUGAUGAUGAUGAUGGCGAUGGCGAUGGCGACGGUUAUGAUCAUCAUCAUCAUCAUCAUCGUCAUCGUCAUCGUCA
rnacentral:pre_miRNA from 1 species